UUGUGAUAUACAAACAUCCUUUACAUUACUAUAGCCACAGUAGUGAUUUAAGCUAUUCCCAAUGCGAUUUAUUUGUGUAAUUUUGUCUCCAAUUGUUCCUCAUGUCUUGAAGGACGGUGGUCUCAUAUAAAUAUUGAAGGAAAAUCAAAUAAAAAACAGUUCAGUGCCAAAAGCAUAAGGGUGUGUACUACCGAAGAAGACGAAAUAACCAAAUAAUUUACAAAAUGUUUGCCAAAAUUGUCCUAGUGGCUCUGGCUCUCCUGGCAGUGGUGGCGGCCAAGCCUCAGUACUACACCGGCGGCUACUAUGGUGACUACUCUGGGUACGCGUCUGGCUACCCCGGCUACUAUGGUUACGGCUCCGGCUACGCAAACCCCCUGUCCUACAACGCGUAUGGAGGGUACCCCGGCGGCGCUUACAACUAUGGAUAUGGCUAUUAUUAAACAUCACUCUGAGAUGUAUGAAAAAAUAUAGGACAGCUUCAAAAUUACGUUUAAUUUUAGAGGAUUACUGUAAUGAGUAUUAUGGGUUUAGGUAGUUGUGACAAGGAGUCUAUAUACAUGGUGUUACAAAGGUGGUAUUGUAAUCCUUUUCGUAGGUGCCUGUCAACCAGAUCGAAUGAUAUAAAUAAAACACAGUUCUGAAUUUGUAAUCAAUUGCAGUAUUAACUUUCUAAAUUGUACUUUAUAAAUACCUACGUAUAGUUAUAUAUUUUUUUGUAAUAAAAACAUAAUGACUUGUU